rnacentral:rRNA from 1 species
UUGGAGGGCAAGUCUGGUGCCAGCAGCCGCGGUAAUUCCAGCUCCAAUAGCGUAUAUUAAAGUUGUUGCAGUUAAAAAGCUCGUAGUUGAAUUUCGGGAUCAAUUUAUUGGUCGUGCCAACGGUACGCACUGGUACAAUUGGUUUCUCCCUUCUGACGAAGCAUGAUGUCAUUAAUUUGAUGUCGUGGGGAAUCAGGACUGUUACUUUGAAAAAAUUAGAGUGUUUAAAGCAGGCUUUGGCUUGAAUACAUUAGCAUGGAAUAAUGAAAUAGGACGUUUGAUCUUAUUUCGUUGGUUUCUAAGAUCGACGUAAUGAUUAAUAGGGAUAGUUGGGGGCAUUAGUAUUCAAUUGUCAGAGGUGAAAUUCUUGGAUUUAUUGAAGACUAACUACUGCGAGGGGCAUUUGCCAAGGAUGUUUUCAUUAAUCAAGAACGAAAGUUAGGGGAUCGAAGACGAUCAGAUACCGUCGUAGUCUUAACCAUAAACUAUGCCGACUAGGGAUCGGAUGAUGUUAUAUUUUUUAAUGACUCAUUCGGCGCCUUACGGAAAC